rnacentral:rRNA from 1 species
AACGCUGGCGGCGCGCUUAACACAUGCAAGUCGAGCGAGAACCAGGACUUCGGUCCUGGGGACAGCGGCGAACGGGUGAGUAACACGUGGGUAAUCUGCCCUCGAUUCUGGGAUAGCCCGGGGAAACCCGGAUUAAUACCGGAUAGCCUUCCGAGCUCUCGGGCUCGGAAGAAAAGGUAGCUUCGGCCUCCGAUCGAGGAUGAGCCCGCGGUGGAUUAGCUUGUUGGCGGGGUAAUGGCCCACCAAGGCGACGAUCCAUAGCUGGUCUGAGAGGACGAUCAGCCACACUGGGACGGAGACACGGCCCAGACUCCUACGGGAGGCAGCAGUGGGGAAUCUUGCGCAAUGGGCGAAAGCCUGACGAAGCGACGCCGCGUGGGGGAAGAAGGCCUUAGGGUUGUAAACCUCUUUCAGGCGGGACGAAGCCACUCGGGUGAAUAGCCCAGAGGGUGACGGUACCGCCAGAAGAAGCCCCGGCUAACUACGUGCCAGCCGCCGCCGUAAAAC